GACACGCCGCGUGAGUGAUGAAGGUCUUCGGAUCGUAAAACUCUGUUAUUAGGGAAGAACAUACGUGUAAGUAACUAUGCACGUCUUGACGGUACCUAAUCAGAAAGCCACGGCUAACUACGUGCCAGCAGCCGCGGUAAUACGUAGGUGGCAAGCGUUAUCCGGAAUUAUUGGGCGUAAAGCGCGCGUAGGCGGUUUUUUAAGUCUGAUGUGAAAGCCCACGGCUCAACCGUGGAGGGUCAUUGGAAACUGGAAAACUUGAGUGCAGAAGAGGAAAGUGGAAUUCCAUGUGUAGCGGUGAAAUGCGCAGAGAUAUGGAGGAACACCAGUGGCGAAGGCGACUUUCUGGUCUGUAACUGACGCUGAUGUGCGAAAGCGUGGGGAUCAAACAGGAUUAGAUACCCUGGUAGUCCACGCCGUAAACGAUGAGUGCUAAGUGUUAGGGGGUUUCCGCCCCUUAGUGCUGCAGCUAACGCAUUAAGCACUCCGCCUGGGGAGUACGACCGCAAGGUUGAAACUCAAAGGAAUUGACGGA
rnacentral:rRNA from 1 species